rnacentral:lncRNA from 10 species
CCCACCCCCACCUGGGCUCCUGGACCUAGCAGGGGCUCCCCUCCCCUCCCGAACCACCACCCCGGGAUCCCUUGCCUAUCAGAGAACCCUCCCCUCACUAUGGGAUCUUCCUGCCCAGCAGGGACACCCCCUCCUCUCCAGGACCUCCCUUCACGUUGGGACUUUCCUGCCCAACAGGGAUCCUCAUACACUGUGAGGUACCCCUCUCCCAUCCCUUCCUGGCAGGGACCCCCUUUCUGUUAUCCUGGGAUAUCACUGUGACAGGGCACCCCUAAAUCCAGCAAGCACCCUGUCUGCAAGGAACCCAGCCUGUCUGGAACAUCUGUUGGCCAUCUGGACUGCCCACUGGGAUCUCCCUCUACCCUCAGGUUUAACUCUCCGAUGAGAGAUUGCUCCCUCUCCUCCCCCGCCCUGGCUCACCCGAGUGGAUGAACAUGUGCUUGGUGUAGUUUUUCCGGGAGCUGAACGUCUUGCGACAGUGGCUGCACUCAUACCUGACCCAGCUCCCCGAAGAAAAUCUCUCCCGG